rnacentral:lncRNA from 1 species
CGCCCCUUCCUUAUCUCUUUCCUUCUGCAUCCCAAUCUCUACAUCAUUACAUAAAAAAGAGCCCAUCCUCAUCGCCUACUCUCCAUGCCAAUGAUUCUCCCCUACACAAAAGCUUCAUGGUGGAGGCAGGCUCCUAUCCGACAUGGGGCGUGCUGGUUGCACGGGAGUUCAGGCAAGUGACAUAGAAGAUUGAACUUCCAAAACACUCUCUAGAUCUAGCGACAAAUAGCCCAACCACUACUCAUUCAAGCCUCACCACCAGGAUUGCUACAUCAAGAGAUUGAUGGAGGGGGAGUGGAGUUAUGAUGUAGACCAUGUGAUCGGCAAAUCACCAGAAGUGGAAUCUCCUUUAGUGAGGGCAUACAUGGAUCACAAUGACUAAGGUGAGAUUUUCAUGUUCAUAUGAUGAAUUAGCUCAAGCGAAGAUAUGUUUUAUCUUUUCCAUACAUGAAAAAUUCAAGGGAUAUGAAAAUCAUCCUACAUGCUUUCAAACUAUCAAGUUGGAAAAAAUUAGUCCAUUUUGUGCACCCACAUGACCACACCCUUCUUUGGUGAAGUAAACUUUACUAGGUCAUGCCAUUAAAUGUAUCUUAUUUAGCUAAGACUUUGCCACACAUGUUUAUCGUGUGAUAUAUCUCCCAUUGUAUGCGACAAAUUUGCAUACGUAUCAUGCUUACUCGCCUAGUAAAGUUACAAAGACCUUUUCCGCGUAACCAUGUAUGAAUGACACUCUAUUCUUGUACAAAUGUGAAGUAUUCUAGAAGCUAGCAAUUCAAUUAUUCUUACCUUGUUGCGGUAAUAAAAUUCACGCGUUGCAUGUGCUUGUAUGAUAUGGUUUCUACAUAUUGCAUACCUUUUCGUUUCUGUUUUAAGUGCUAAUAUGGAAUAUGUUUUUUGUCAUACUUUAUUUUUUGGGGAAAUAUCUUAUAUUUAACUCAUUCUAGAAAACAACAUUCGUUGGGCCUGCGACAACUCGAUCUACCAUAUAUGUCUUCUACAUGCCGAUGUACUCAUCAUCACACAUCCAAAUUACAUAAUGAUGUAAAAUAUUUGGAUGUGUCUUGUUGCAACACUUGUAAUUGUGCACAUGUUUCUCAUCUCCUAUAUUUCACAUCCCCAAGAUCUACAAUGACACAUAAAAGAGAGCUCCCUGGCCCCUCUUUCACUCUCCAUGAGUAGCCUCCCUUUCUACAUGGGUCGCACAUGUGAGCUCAAGCAAGUGUCAGAUCAACCUAAUUGAUCUUCGAAAACACACUUUAGGUCUAGUGAAAAACGACCCACCCACCACUCAAUUGGGUCUCUUCGCCAUGGUUGGUUGCUAUGUCAAGAGGUCGAUGGAGGGGGAGUGGAUUCACGUGUUAGACCUUGUGGACUACAACUCACCCAGAGCGGAAGCUUCCAUGAGUGAAGACAUACAUCGACCUCAAUGCCUAAGGUGAACUUUUAAUGUUCUUCAUGUGCUUUGGUGAAGAUAUGUAUGUGUUCUGUCAACCAUGGAAACCUAAUUAUGGGAUUUGAUAGUGCACUUGGAGAUUGCUACUGGUUCCCACAACCAAUAGCAUUUUUUGUGGAAUAACAUUUUGUUGAGUUGUAUGUGAAGUUACGUUUAUAUAGGAAAAAUUAUUGAAGAAUAUUAUACGGUUUCAAGAUAUGUCCACUUCCGUAUCUAGAUAUGUGUCAAUGCCAUCAAGGUCAAGAUAUAAGUUUAUGAUGAUCCACGAUAAACAUGUGGACUCAAAUAUGAAAUAUCAAGAAUGAGUUCACUGGAUGAAUGAAAUAUGGUUAAUGUGAAACUAUAUGGAAGAUAAAAAAAUCAAAACAAAAUACAAAGUGUGACACAAAAAAGGUCAUGAUUUUAGCUCAUGAGAUGAAAUGUGAAAACCAAGAACUUUAGGCAAUAAAAAAGAAGAGGAUGAUUCAGUAUAUAUCUUCAAGGGCAUGUCAAGGUUGAGGUCGUGAGUUUGUAUAAUGACGAUGAAGCCUUUGUUAGGUGUCUCAUGAAGAAAAAACAAUUGACUCCUAGGAGAUUUACGUAGGGUUUAAAUAGGAAAUGGUUUAUUAUUCAAGUUUGGUAAGCACACAUUGUGAAUAACGUAUCACCUGAGACCAAGCAAUAUAUAGGUGUAAACAAUUUUUAGUUAUGCUUUCUAAACUAACCCAUCAUAUGUACAAAAUGUGGUUGAAGGUCAAGUACGACCCAUGGACUUGCGCAGAGAGGAUGAUUUUCAAUCAACCCGUGACGAAUGACAUCAUAUCGACAAACGCCAUCAAGGUUGUGAAGAGGAAAUUCAGGAUGUUCACCUCGAGAAUAUAUAGGCUUAAAGCAUGCGUGCAUUUUGUGACAAUGACCAAGCACAUAUGGGCUCAAAUGAAAAGGCUCCCCGUAUUGUUAGAGGAAGGUACAAAACCGAAGGUGUUCAUCAACAAACUUUAGAGAAGGCUUCAAUCUUGGAGGAAGGAUUAAUGUCAUCAUCAAGUAAGGAUGGAUUAACCCAAGGCAAAGGUAUGCAUGAAGUUUGACCAAAUUACUAGAGAAACCAACAUCAACAAUGCAAACAAUAAUAAUAAAAACAUUUCACGAUAGAUAGAUCUACCAACACUAAUUUGAUAUUGAAACGUUGUCAUUUUUCUACAAACUUGAGAAACAUUAUAAAGUUUGUCUCCAGACAUACUCCAUUCAUUCUAUAAUGUAGUGUGUAUAGAUUUUUUGAAAAGACAAAAUUUACAAAGUUUGAUUAAAUUUACAAAGAAAGCUAUUUAUAUGUACAAUACCGAAUAUAUAUAAUAUGAAAAUACAUCUAAUAAUGUAUAUAAUGAUAUGUAUUUGAUAUUCUAACUGUAU